rnacentral:rRNA from 1 species
UACGGAGGGUGCAAGCGUUAUCCGGAUUCACUGGGUUUAAAGGGUGCGUAGGCGGGCAGGUAAGUCAGUGGUGAAAUCUCCAAGCUUAACUUGGAAACUGCCGUUGAUACUAUCUGUCUUGAAUACCGUGGAGGUGAGCGGAAUAUGUCAUGUAGCGGUGAAAUGCUUAGAUAUGACAUAGAACACCAAUUGCGAAGGCAGCUCGCUACACGAAUAUUGACUCUGAGGCACGAAAGCGUGGGGAGCAAACAGG